UACGAAGGGGGCUAGCGUUGCUCGGAAUCACUGGGCGUAAAGGGUGCGUAGGCGGGUCUUUAAGUCAGGGGUGAAAUCCUGGAGCUCAACUCCAGAACUGCCUUUGAUACUGAAGAUCUUGAGUUCGGGAGAGGUGAGUGGAACUGCGAGUGUAGAGGUGAAAUUCGUAGAGAUUAGGUGGAACACCAGAGGCGAAGGCGCCUGCCUGGCCAAACAUUGACGCUGAGGCGCGAAAGCGUGGGGAGCAAACAGG
rnacentral:rRNA from 1 species